ACUGCUCAGUAACACGUGGAUAACCUGCCCAAGGGUCCGGGAUAACCCCGGGAAACUGGGGAUAAUACCGGAUGGAUCACUUAUGCUGGAAUGCUUGGUGGUCGAAAGGUGACGCCCUUGGAUGGGUCUGCGGCGGAUUAGGUUGACGCCGGUGUAACGUACCGGCGUGCCUGUAAUCCGUACGGGUUGUGGGAGCAAGAGCCCGGAGAUGGAUUCUGAGACACGAAUCCAGGCCCUACGGGGCGCAGCAGGCGCGAAAACUCUACAAUGCAGGCAACUGCGAUAGGGGGACAUCGAGUGGCAUCCACCUUGGGUGCCUGUCCCACCGUCUAAAAAACGGUGGUUAGCAAGGGCCGGGCAAGACCGGUGCCAGCCGCCGCGGUAAUACCGGCGGCUCGAGUGGUGGCCGAUAUUAUUGAGUCUAAAGGGUCCGUAGCCGGCUUUGCAAGUCCCCUGGGAAAUCCAGCGGCUUAACCGUUGGGCUUUCAUGGGAUACUACAUUGCUUGGGACUGGGAGAGGUAGGAGGUACUCGGGGGGUAGGGGUGAAAUCCUGUAAUCCCCCGGGGACCACCGGUGGCGAAGGCGUCCUACCAGAACAGGUCCGACGGUGAGGGACGAAAGCUAGGGGCACGAACCGGAUUAGAUACCCGGGUAGUCCUAGCCGUAAACGAUGCCCGCUAGGUGUCACGGCGGUCGUGAAUCGCCGUGGUGCCGUAGGGAAGCCGCGAAGCGGGCCACUUGGGAAGUACGGCCGCAAGGCUGAAACUUAAAGGAAUUGGCGGGGGAGCACA
rnacentral:rRNA from 1 species